UGUGGAGCUCAGCACACAGACAGAAGCACGGAAGAGGCUUCGGGACUUCUCCAUAGAGAAGUAAUAGCCAGACACAGCCACAGGGGUGGGGCUGCCGAGGCAGGGGACGGCCAGUCCUUUGAGAAACUGGAAGGAGUAUGGGGAGGAAGAAGCAGCAGCAGCAGGACAACAGUCUGGAAAGGAGCAGCCAAGGGAGAAGUGGGACAAUCAGGGGAGUCUCGAGCUGGAGGAAGAAACGUGCAGCAGAACUCUUCGCCUGGAACAGACCUGCAGCGGAUGUUUGCUGGACGUUGAUUGAAGGAGGAAGGGGAAGUGAGAGCAGCUCAGAGAGGAGUCCCUUCUCCCUGUGACUCCGGGAAAGUUUGGUCCCGCUGAAGCAGGAGGCAGCCGUUCUUCCAAAGUGAAGGCCCCGCCUGCACCCGUGGGUAUGUCCUGGUUUAUCUGCUCCAGGCAAAUGCCCGUGAAUCUUCAGGGUAGCUGGAGUGUGCCUGCGGGGAGAAGCUGAAAGAGUGAGAUUACUCUGGAAGCUUAGAAGAAAGAAAUAGAUGUCCAGAUACUGGCCUAGCUGAUUUUCUAUCCAUCUGCUUUUUGGUGAUAUUGUGUAUUACAAAAUGUAACCAUUCAGUUGCUUAAUUGAUCACUAUCUGUGAAACUAUUUUACUUUAUUUAUUUUUUAAUGUGCAUUAUCUUUAUUAUUAUUAUUGUUAUUUUUAUUAUUUUAUAUUGAA
rnacentral:lncRNA from 1 species